rnacentral:lncRNA from 1 species
GAACGGUCAAGUCAAGCACCAUGUCUCUUGUUCUUUGAUCAACUAUAGCUCUGGAGUUUUUGCAGAUUUUCAAAUAAAACUCAGAGAUUCCUUGUAUGACUCUCUCUAGUCUCUCUUUGGUGGUAUUGCUGGAUCCUUACCAAGGCAGUGAUAAUAUACGCCUUCUCUCAAAGUAUGUAGUAUUUGUGGUAUGAGGCAUAGUCAUAUUGCCUUCUCUCUCACCCUACUCUAAUAAGGUUUGAUAUGUGGAGCUCAUAGGUGGGAGACAGCUAAUACAUACUUACAAGACAUUUAUUGCAUAGUCAAACCAUGGAUCCAGAAGAACAAGUCAAUAAGUCAAAUCAAGAUGUGCAUGUGUGGCGAAUGAAUGAUGCAUGGUAAUGAUGGUGAUAACAAUGGUGAAAGUCUAAUUCUACUUAUGCUCUUUUGAGGGGAUACAUACCUUUCUUGCAUAAAUAUUAUUUGAGGGUUCAUAGCAAACUUUAUUUAUUUAUUUAUUUAGCAAACUAAGCAUAGAUAUAUAUAUAUAAGCAUAAAAUCUUUAUUUGGGUUUUUAUGAUUAUGCAUCUUUUUAUUAUUUGAGUAAAGUAUAAAUGCGAGUAGAAACACUUAGCUAGAUAAAUGGGGGUGCUCUCCCCCAAGCUGGAUUUUGACGUAAUUUCUUCUGAUGUAGCUAGCAGGUGAUGGAUGUGUAUUUGAAUGUCGGCAGCACCCUCACAGCGAUUAGGAUGUCCUCCGUCCGCUUGUCUUCUUUGAUCCUUGAAUUCUAUGGAGCUCAAAUAGACAACAAAGCUUUGUGGAUUAGUUAAGUGUUAGCAUAAAUAUCUAGCCUUUAUCAUGUUGAGCCUCCUUAAUAAAUGUUACUCUCUUUGGUAGGAUCAUAAAUUUAUUUUUAUAUUUUCAUUUUUAUAGGAUAGGAAUAUAUUUAUUUUAUUUUUACACCACCACAACGAAUGUACUUAUGGGUUUUAUGCCACGAGCAUACUCACAUGGGGCUUAGUAUUUUUUAACAUUUUUAUUUUCUUUUCAAGAUAACAUGAUUAACUAAUAAGCUAUUUAAGGAAAGUAAGUAAUUAAAGGGAAAAGGGAAUGCAGAAAGGAUAAAUAUGGAUAACUACCGUUUUUACCUUUCGGUGAGGAUUCAAUGUUUUAAGUCUUCUAAACAAGACUUCUCACUGUGUUCAUUCUUCAGGUGCGUCAUUUGAUUCAGGUGUGGACCUUAACGUCUGCACCUCCUGAUACGGUGUCACCCAUGUUCUUCGUUUGUCUAGCAGUUCAAAAUGCGGCGUUGGCAGUAUCUUACUCAGUGUGUUUGUGCUCGUAGAUCCAGGUCCUUCACUUGGUGGAGUCUGAGAGUUAUAAAACUCCUCCAUGUUUUGCUCAAAGUGUACCUGCUCAUAGAGACAAGGCAGAGAUCAAGUGCAUGGGUCCUGUUGGUGGAAAACACCAACAGAACCAAAAGUGUAUUUGUUCUUCUCUAACCUUUAGCAUAGUAAGCAAGACAAAGUUGGUGGAUGAUAAGCUCAUGAGUGUAGUACUUAUAAUAUUUGUCAGAUC